AUGAGCCAGUCUCCACCCUCCGUGUCUGCAUCUCCAAGAGACAGAGUCACCAUCUCCUGCCGGGCCAGUCAGGGUAUUAGCAGCAAUUUAGCCUGGUAUCAGCAGAAACCAGGAAAAGCUCCUAAGCUCCUGAUCUAUUAUGCAAACAGUGUGCAGCCUGGGGUCCCAUCCCGCUUCAGUGGCAGUGGCUCUGGGACAGAUUUCACUCUCACCAUCAGCAGCCUGGAGCCUGAAGAUGCUGCCAAUUACUGCUGGGGCUCCUCAGUUCAGCUUCUCAAAAUGAGGUUCCCUGCUGAGCUGCUGGGGCUGCUGAUGCUCUGGACCCCAGGGGCCUCGUAUGAGAUCCAGAUGACCCAGUCUCCAUCCUCCAUGUCUGCAUCUCGAGGAGACAGAGUCACCAUCUCCUGCCGGGCCAGUCAGAGUGUUAGCAACUACUUAGCCUGGUACCAGCAGAAACCUGGACAGGCUCCCAGGCUCCUCAUCUAUCGUGCAUCCAGCAGGCCCAGUGAGAUCCCAGCCCGGUUCAGUGGCAGCGGGUCUGGGACAGACUUUACUCUCACCAUCAGCAGCCUGGAGCCUGAAGAUGCUGCCACUUACUACUGUCAGCAGUGGAAUAGUUCCCCUCCCACAGUGACACAAGCCUGA